UCAGUGAAUGUCACAGAGGACGCCUGCUGAAACAGGCAGCCCUUCAUUUCACAUGAAACACAAUUUGCUGUGUCAUUUUAGCUCUGCUAACGAACUGUAAAGUCAUGUUUACUUACAGGCCACAGUAAAGUGUGAUUUAUCAAACCUGGCCAGCAGCCUGUGAUGCAGCACACGGAGGGAAAACUCUUCUGUUAGUCAGCUCUGUUGGUUACUGACAGUCAGUGACAUUCAUGAAAAUGAUGUGAAGCAAUUAGCUCAGUUCAGUGUGAGAACAAUUAGCCUGUAAUUAGCACGAAGCAAAUCUGUUGCUGCUGCUGCUAUGACAAGACAGGUGAUCAGCAGCACCUCCUUCACCUCCUUCUCUGCUUCGUAAUGUGGUGAGAACGACUCUGAAGCUGCUGCACUGAACUCUGUAACACCCUAACAACAAUGUGCUUCACACAUCAGCCCGUCUCCACCUUUACUAUUGGACUGAGUGGACACUUUGAAUCAAAUCUGUGCUUCUGUCCCCACCUUUUCCAUCUUUGUGUUGAGUCGAAUCAGCUGCAGCUCAUUUGUAUGAUUUCAACCAGUGUCAGUUUGAUUCUUCAUUUUUAAUGCCUACUAGAUGACAAAGAUUAUAACAAAGACUGCAGAUAAACAUCUUAUUUCAGAGUGAUGAAAAGGAUCGGUUUGGAGAGAGGAUUCGUUCUGACAGGAGGUGUGGAGGUGAUCGAGCUAACAAAUCAGCAGAGACUCAAGGAAACAGCUGAGGUGAAAAGAAGCAGCUGACAGAGCAUGUGGACUGAAGGACAGACGCAUUUGUCUCCAGCAUCCCACAGCCAACAGUGGAGUUUAGCUGUGACCAGACUGCAGUGCAGGGGAACUGGACUUUCCAAAGUGACCAGAGAAACAUCAAAAGUCAACUGACUUUGUACUGAAAGCAAGAAUAAAAAGUGAUGUCAUAUCUGCUCCUCACAGUCAGUGCAGCUUCACAUUCACCGACACGAGCUGGAGGCUUUCACACUGACAUCCAAAGGCCUGCUGGAGGACAGAAACACUGUGGGCUGGAAAUGAAUUAUGAAUUGAGACACUUAGAGGUCAGGAGCUUUGAACUAAGUGUUCAGUAUGAUAAGACAUGAGCGGACUGCACUUUAAAAAUGAAUCAAGAUUUUUCUGUCUGAUGAGCAAAUGUAAUGAGGAGGACGUGUUUUCACCUGCAGUCGUUUUGUCUCUGACCGCAGAAGCUGAAGAAACUGUCCAACAUGACAGACUGAAAUAAACUGCUACAUCUGACUCGUUUCCUGCAUCAUGUGAUGUUCAUGAGUUCUCCCAACACUGAUGAGAUUUUGUUAUUUUGCAAACCUGUUAAUGACUGUAACUAAUGUGAAAUCGUUUUCUCCCAUCUGCGCACAAAGAAUGACUGAGUCCAAACAGUCGUCUGCUGGAAGUUGGCGUAUUCAUGCAGUUUGUUGCAUGGAGCCAUCAUUCAAACAGAUCUGAUUUACUGUCUGCCUGCUUUCCAGUCUGAAAAUGAUUUGAGCUGCGUUCAUG